GCAAGACGGAAAAUCAGUGGGGACGGAGAACUCGUAAACAUCGCAACGUAGUCUCGCCAAAACGUAGGGUAACAAUGCAGGAAUUCUUAGUGAGCGUUGGCGGCCAUAUUUAUUUUCGCGUUCUUCUACUCGCUUGGUGACCAGACCUGCAUGUGCGAUGCUCGUCACGGACGAUAAUUGUACACAGAAGGUGAACGAACCACAAGAGGAGUAGUGACCAACAAGUAUCAACAUUAAAUUUAGAUGAAUGGACUAACAUUAAAUGCGCAUGUUUACUUAAGUGAAAAAAAAAACAAAAAACUUCGACAACAAUAAAUCAAUGCCAAAAUA